rnacentral:tRNA from 1 species
UCCGUUAUCGUCCAGCGGUUAGGAUAUCUGGCUUUCACCCAGGAGACCCGGGUUCGAUUCCAAGUAACGGAA